CUUUGGUCCCUCUGCUGAGGUUUAGAGUGGAUGUUGCCUGGCAUCAUGGGACUUGUGCUUGUCUUCUCUGCAGUUACAGGCAGGAAGCUUCAAAGAAACAUGAAUGAAAAAAACGCCAAACCCCUGUCUUCUAGACCUCUUCAGGGAUACAAGAAUAUUUAAUGUGUGAAGCCUCUUACCUCAGUGGAUCCAGUGAAAGCAAUUUUAUCAAUGCCAACAUGAGAGGCUAUGGCUGCACCAACAAUUGGACCAAAUCCUGGCAAAAUAUUGACAACUCCUGGUGGAAAGCCAGCCUGUCAAAAUAGGAAUGAAUGAAGGUGGCUGCCAGAAGAACAUUGCCUGAGAGGGACCUGACACUGAUCCCACAUCCAAUCUAAAAUUUUGUGUAAAAAGGGUAUUUUUAAUAUACGCAGCUGAAGUAAACCGACAUUCUUCAGUCCUCACUGAUAUUAAUAGAGCAAGAUCAAUUUGCAGCUGCUUAGCACCUGGCCCAAAAACUUUCAUUUUUUAAUCAGAAAGCAGGUCCCAUUUAUCCAGGGAUCUCACUUUGGGACAGCAAUAUCUUCCACAGAUGUGUUUGCUUAGAUUUCCAUCAGGAGUCUCCAGCAUGGAUAUUUUAUUUGCAUAACAACCAUAAUACAGUCCUAUGCCUCAUAUAGCAGGACACAGCAAACAAGUAGGAAUGGUCAUUCCAUGGAUUUUGUCUGCCCAACCAGCAUAAUACCUCAGGGUUUUUAUGACUCCCUGGAGAUCUACAUAGAAAGCUUGCAAAAACGGUUUGCCGCUGUUCAGUGAUUCCAUAGUCUGCAGGACAAGAAAAAGUUAAGAGAUCAAGAAUUGCCCUGUCCCUUUCCACCAAGUCAGCUAACUUAUCCAAAAGAUGGCCUCUUUCUGAGGCAUCCAUUCUCCUCCAAACAGAACCGAGGGAAAAAGCCAGCCGAGCUGCCCUCACUGCCUUGUCCGUAUCAACCUGGGAAGAAGGAAGAAGAAAAUUGAAGACACAAGGGCUGUGUUUAUAAAGACAGGGACCUUUGAAAGCUUGAGGAGCCUCAGUUCCAAUCAGAGAUACACAGAGUUCCACAGGGCUGAUCAAGAAAGCAAUCUGACUCAUCCUUCAGGUCAAGUGACUGUUCAGAGCCUUGAAGAUACCUCAUCAUACCGGAAAGUAUACAAAGGAAAAGUAAACCCAAAGUUACCAUGUAAAAAUUCCAAGUUACUUUGAAAUUGCUGACAUGUAGUUGGAAGAAAAUCAUACAUUGCAUUUUGCACAAGACCUGCAUUUCACAAGCAUUACACACUGAGUUCAAUAGCCUUUUGGAUGCUCAUCAGUUUUGGAAUCAAGCCAAGAAUAAAUGUUUUUAGUAUAACACAAAGCAAAUUUAGCUUUGCAAAUAAACAACUACAAUCUCUUGUUUCAGUAGCCAUCCAUCCCAGCUGGCUUAGUAAUAACUAGCAACUUAAAAUGGUUCAUUUUAAACCAUGCAGGUAAUUGCAGUGAUAACUAUUCAAAGAGGAAGGGAUGUGUAGAAACCCAGGCUGGACAUUCUGAUCUGCAGUGCAGCAAUAACAAAAUUUAGUGCAGGGAGAAAACAUAUUUUGUGUUUUCAUCACUAUUUACCAGCAGGGAAGUACUAAACAACUAUCUUUAUUAGUGUGUGUAUAAAUAUAAUUAAUUAAGCACAGAAGUAAGGCCUCCUUUGCAGCUCAUAGUUGAAGGAGCCUUAGUUUCAUGGCACUUCAAAUUCCCUCUGCUGUUGAGCCAGGGGCUAGCCCUGGAUUUGGGAAAUGGAACUGAUUUUUACAUUCACUGGGGAGUCUGCAUGCUCACUGCCUCUCUUUUUUUGUAUUGCUGUUCCUUAAAAUAUACAGGGAAAAGAAAACAUUUUGGGCUCUCUAAAUUCAUAAGAGUAAUCAACACAGGUGGCAACAAUGUAACUUUUCAUUUCCUUUCUUGAAAAUGUACUCAAAUGAUGUGUGAGCGAAAUGAUGAUCUACAUUCUUAAUUCUAUAUUGCUUAGUGAUGAUGUCAUGAGACAUUUUCUUCAGGCUCCCCAGCUGUUUAACUCAGAACUUCAGGCAGUCCACAGACAGUGGCCCAGCAUUCAGCUCUUUGGAGGUGGAAUUAUUUUCCCAUGGAUUUAAUAAACAAGGUUUUUGUGUUGUUGCAGCUCCUAGAAAUGUUUUUUGGUACAGGAAGAGGAUUUUAACAUCCAAAUAAUAAUGGCUUCCCACAGGAGAUUUGGUUCUGGAUGAAUGGAGGAAGGAAUGGGAAUUUCCUUACUCAAUUGAUUUAGUAGCUGGUUAUAGUUUCAUUCCAUCAAAGAUCUUUUUUUCAUAUGUGGGUUUUUCCUUAGAGAGCUUUUGGCAUUAAAUCUGCUGGGAUGGGGGAGGGGUCAUCAGAUGCCAAAGUACUUUAUAAGAGAAUCACAGCUGCUUGGCCCUCAGCAUCUUCUCAGAGCUGGAGGCACUAGGAAGGCACUUCUUUUUUAGGGGGGAUGGACAACAAUUUUAGAGGCAUGCAAAAAAUCCAGCAGCAGCAUUUCCCUUGGUAAAUACUGCAUAACAUCCCAGAUACUGGGCACCUGUGCCUCAGUCUGGUCAGGAAAUUUCAUAUCCUUUCCCAUCUCAGCAACUUCAUUUCCUCUCCUUGGGAAACAUUUCAAGAGUCCUAAUGAUUAGUACAAUUUUAAGGGAAUGAACUAGGUGGGAUUGCCAAUCAGAGGUGCAGCUUGUUUAUUUUCACAGGCCUUGUUUUCCUUCACUUUUAUGGCUGUCUUGAUACAGCAAAUCUCUCACAUUCUAGAGUGUGUUGUGAGGCACUCCUGGGAGUGACUGGAAACCAACAGCUGGCUAUGGAAUCAGCAAAAACCUGGUUUAUAAGAAGGCACUAGGAAAGCAAAAGCCAAUUCCAGCAGUCUGCUGGCUGAAUGACCAGCGAUGGAUCAGCAGUGCCAUUUAAUUUUACUUUUAAGAGGGUUGUUCAAGUGACCAGCAAGAGUCACAGCUUCUUGUUGGCAGUUCACAACAGGUGAGUAAUGGGCUUCAAGGCCAACCUCCCCAAGCACUGUGAGUGCAGAAUCCUGCUUCUGAGGCAUGAAUGAGCUUGUCUUGGCAGUGCCAGUGACUGUGCUGCUUUCAGGGGAUAGCCCUGCACAAGCCAAGGCAGCCUGGCUGGCCUAGCACCUCAGCACAGGUGGUUCUCAUGUCAUUCAUUACCCCAGAGCAGAAUCAUCCUCAGAAGUUAUCCAGUUCUUUAGUGAGAUGCCUUUCAGCUGUGGGGGAACUGCAAUUUGUAUGAGAGUAACAGUGAACUGCAGAGGAACAACUUUGCACCAAAUUUAAUUCGGGCAAACUCCCAUGGGCAUAGCUGGUUUUCAGCUGCAAGAGGUCCAAGAGGUCCAGGG